AUACGGAGGAUCCAAGCGUUAUCCGGAAUCAUUGGGUUUUAAGGGUUCGCAGGCGGUCAAUUAAGUCAGAGGUGAAAGCCCAUCGCUCAACGAUGGAACUGCCUUUGAUACUGGUUGACUUGAGUUAUACGGAAGUAGAUAGAAUAAGUAGUGUAGCGGUGAAAUGCAUAGAUAUUACUUAGAAUACCGAUUGCGAAGGCAGUCUACUACGUAUAUACUGACGCUGAGUGACGAAAGCGUGGGGAGCGAACAGGAUUAGAAACCCUAGUAGUCC
rnacentral:rRNA from 1 species